AUUCUACUCCCUCCAUCCCAAAUUAGUUGUCUUAGAUCUGUCAAGACACAAAUGUAUCUAACACAAAGAUAAAGGUGUAUCUAACACGUGUUAGAUACAUCCAUAUCUAGACAAAUCUAAGACAACUAAUUCGGGACGGAAGUAAUAAAAG
rfam:Triticum aestivum genome assembly, contig: Triticum_aestivum_CS42_TGACv1_scaffold_194354_3AL